GCUAAUGUGGUUCACUGGUAGAAUAUUUGUUUCGGGUACAAAUGAUAAAAGGUUCGAUUCCUUUCAUUGCA
rnacentral:tRNA from 1 species